rnacentral:rRNA from 1 species
CGGAUCCAUUCCGAACCCGGUAGUUAAGCCCCCCAGCGCCGAUGAUACUGUGCCGGACCGCGGCACGGGAAAGUAGGUCGCUGCCAGCC